UACGGAGGGGGCGAGCGUUAUUCGGAAUUAUUGGGCGUAAAGGGCGCGUAGGCGGCCCGGUAAGUCAAAGGUGAAAUCCCUCGGCUCAACUGAGGAACUGCCUUUGAAACUGUCGGGCUUGAGGCCGGGAGGGGGUAGCGGAAUUCCCAGUGUAGCGGUGAAAUGCGUAGAUAUCGAGAGGAACACCUGCGGCGAAGGCGGGUUGCUGGGCUGACACUGACGCUGAUGCGCGAAAGCCAGGGGAGCGAACGGG
rnacentral:rRNA from 1 species